rnacentral:rRNA from 1 species
GACAGGGGGUGCUAGCGUUGUUCGGAAUGACUGGGCGUAAAGGGUGCGUAGGCGGCUUUGUAAGUAAGGUGUGAAAUCCCUGGGCUCAACCCAGGAACUGCGCUUUAUACUGCAAAGCUCGAGUUCGAUAGAGGAAACGGGAAUUUCUAGUGUAGGGGUAAUAUCCAUAGAUAUUAGAAGGAACACCAAAGGCGAAGGCAAGUUUCUGGGUCGAUACUGACGCUGAGGCACGAAAGCGUGGGGAGCAAACAGAAUUAGAUACUCUGGUAGUCCACGCCCUAAACGAUGAGUGCUAGAUGUGGGUGCGUAAGCGUCCGUGUCGCAGCUAACGCGUUAAGCACUCCGCCUGAGUACUACGGUCGCAAGACUAAA